rnacentral:rRNA from 1 species
AUUGAACGCUGGCGGUAUGCUUUACACAUGCAAGUCGAACGGCAGCACGGACUUCGGUCUGGUGGCGAGUGGCGAACGGGUGAGUAAUGUAUCGGAACGUGCCCAGUAGUGGGGGAUAACUACUCGAAAGAGUGGCUAAUACCGCAUGAGAUCUCUGGAUGAAAGCGGGGGACCGUAAGGCCUCGCGCUACUGGAGCGGCCGAUAUCAGAUUAGGUAGUUGGUAGGGUAAGAGCCUACCAAGCCAACGAUCUGUAGCUGGUCUGAGAGGACGACCAGCCACACUGGGACUGAGACACGGCCCAGACUCCUACGGGAGGCAGCAGUGGGGAAUAUUGGACAAUGGGCGGAAGCCUGAUCCAGCCAUGCCGCGUGUGUGAAGAAGGCCUUUUGGUUGUAAAGCACUUUAAGCGAGGAGGAGGCUACUUAGAUUAAUACUCUAGGAUAGUGGACGUUACUCGCAGAAUAAGCACCGGCUAACUACGUG